rnacentral:snoRNA from 1 species
AGCCCCACCUUCACUUUGCCACCUGGGCUGUCCUAUGUCCUAAGUGGUCAUUCACGUGGGGAACAGUAUUUGUACUUCAGCACUCCGGCCAAGCACCUACCGUAUGUUUGAACUUGGGUUGUUGGAGACACACCCCAAAAAACAAUU